rnacentral:rRNA from 1 species
AUUGAACGCUGGCGGCAGGCCUAACACAUGCAAGUCGAGCGGAUGAUGGGAGCUUGCUCCUUGAUUCAGCGGCGGACGGGUGAGUAAUGCCUAGGAAUCUGCCUGGUAGUGGGGGACAACGUUUCGAAAGGAACGCUAAUACCGCAUACGUCCUACGGGGGAAAGCAGGGGACCUUCGGGCCUUGCGCUAUCAGAUGAGCCUAGGCCGGAUUAGCUAGUUGGUGGGGUAAUGGCUCACCAAGGCGACGAUCCGUACCUGGUCUGAGAGGAUGAUCAGUCACACUGGAACUGAUACACGGGCCAGACUCCUACGGGAGGCAGCAGUGGGGAAUAUUGGACAAUGGGCGAAAGCCUGAUCCAGCCAUGCCGCGUGUGUGAAGUAGGUCUUCGGAUUGUAAAGCACUUUAAGUUGGGAGGAAGGGCAGUAAGCUAAUACCUUGCUGUUUUGACGUUACCGACAGAAUAAGCACCGGCUAACUCUGUGCCAGCCGCCGCAGUAACAC